UACGUAGGGUGCGAGCGUUGUCCGGAAUUAUUGGGCGUAAAGAGCUCGUAGGCGGUGUGUCGCGUCGGCCGUGAAAACCUGGGGCUCAACUCUGGGCGUGCGGUCGAUACGGGCAUCACUUGAGUUCGGCAGGGGAGACUGGAAUUCCUGGUGUAGCGGUGAAAUGCGCAGAUAUCAGGAGGAACACCGGUGGCGAAGGCGGGUCUCUGGGCCACUACUGACGCUGAGAAGCGAAAGCAUGGGGAGCGAACAGG
rnacentral:rRNA from 1 species